ensembl:lncRNA LINC01333 long intergenic non-protein coding RNA 1333
GUUGAGCACAGUGGUCACUCAAAAGAGGCAGAGUGAGUUCAGCCUAUCAUUUGAGAUCCGAGUAUGAUUGGGGAAAUAUCCUGAAAUAGUCUAUGAUUUGAAGAAAUGGAUAGAUGGCUAGAAUAACAUGCUAGAUGGUAGUCAAGUUACUAACUGCAGAAUUGAUUUGAUAAAAUUCUCAUCGUGUCUCCUGACUUAGGAGAAAUAUUGGGUCUGAUGAAUGGGUAAAAUUCCCAGGUGAAAAGAAUUUGGUCUGUAAGAUUUGGCAGCACCCUGAGGUUUGCCAUAUCUGAUGGCCUGGCUUUAGUGGCAGCACCUAGUGAAGGCCCAGGUGUCCUUCUGACAACCUUUACCACCUACCGUUUUGUCCUUACUUAUGUUGAAUCACUACACACAGGCUGUUGAAUUCAGCUGUCUGUGGAGAAAUUAUACCAACCACAUGGUUAGACAGAAGGAAUACAAUAUAUUGCUUAAUUUGUAUCUGAAAGCUAAGCAACAUGGAAAAAAAUCAAGCAUGCUCAGUCACUUCCAUGAGGACAAACGAAGACACUUCAAGAUAAUGAUUGAUACACCUCCCAUGCCCCACCUCUCACCCAGGACAGGAUCGAAGUGUUGGGGGAGCCACAACCUGCUUCACCUAGAAAGAGGACAUUGACAUGGAUCUGCCAGCUUUCUAAGACUUUCCCCAGAUUCAAGUCCAGUCACAUCAAGUUGCCUUAUUAAAGGGUCUGCCCACUCAAAAGGAGAAAGUGCAAAAGAUGCUCAGCAAGGAAUAUCCAGCACAAUAAGCAUUGAAGAAACAAAUGGCAACGCAAGCUUAAAGAAUUCCAAGCCAUUAUGAACUGACUCUUCAAAUAAGUGCUUAUUUUCACAUAACCAGGGAGUUUCUGGAUUAACUUCCAUAUAAGACAUAUUUAUUAAAAGAUUUGCACCCCUAUUGCUGGCACUGGGUGGACCUCCCCAAACGCUCUGCCCUUGGUGCUCUUCUGCCGGUUAUUCUCGUCCAUGACCCCAGAGCCAGGGAGAAUCUCACCAGUGCAGCCCAGGGCACUUCUGAUAACAUCUGAGCAGAGUGAAGGAGAAGAAACGCACGAGGCAGGCAUCUCAUUUAUGGAAGUGCUCCUCUGGGUCAAGCCCUCUGCCAAUAAUUUUCAUGCAUAAUGGCCCUUUCAUUCUCCCCAAAAAUUCUUCAAGGGAGGGUGAUAAUCCCAGGAUAUGGAAACAAGGAAAAGCAGACUACAAGAAGUUAAGUGACCUCCCCAAUGACCCGCUGCUCAUAAAUGGUAGUAUCAGAAUUAAAACCCAGAUGAGGCUGCCCAGGACUGAGGUUUGUGUUACCCCCCGAAGGUGCGCACCAUGGAGAAUGGCCUGGAGUUUCCUGGCUGCAUGUAAGUGCAGGAAGACAUGCUAAGGGUACCACCGCUCUCAGUAGAGCAAGCACACUUCUCUCGGGCUCUUUCCUGAAUUCAAGUAAUCACACCUCGCACACCAACCCACUGCCAAGAAAGAGCUUUUAUUUGACUCAGGAGGUAGAGAAAGUUUCACUGAAGGAUUUCUAAAUUUGUUCUCUUUCUUUCUUCCUUCCUUUUCUUUCUUCCUUCUUUCCUUCCUUUCUCUUUUCUUUCUUUUGUUCAUUCUCUUUCAUUUUUCUUUCUUUUUUUCUUUCUCUUUCUUUCCCUUGUCCAUUCAUUCGCCUUUCCUUUCUUUAUUUUUCUUGGCUUUUUUCUUUCAUUUCUUUAUAUUCCCCUCUUUCGCUUUCUCUGAAUUUUUAUGUCUCUUUUUUGUUCUUUUUUAUUCCCUUUUUAACCCACUUCCUUAACAACAUCUGUAUCUCGGGUGAAAUUGCUGGAACUGUCA